GACGAACGCUGGCGGCGUGCUUAACACAUGCAAGUCGAACGGAAAGGCCCUGCUUUUGUGGGGUGCUCGAGUGGCGAACGGGUGAGUAACACGUGAGUAACCUGCCCUUGACUUUGGGAUAACUUCAGGAAACUGGGGCUAAUACCGGAUAGGAGCUCCUGCUGCAUGGUGGGGGUUGGAAAGUUUCGGCGGUUGGGGAUGGACUCGCGGCUUAUCAGCUUGUUGGUGGGGUAGUGGCUUACCAAGGCUUUGACGGGUAGCCGGCCUGAGAGGGUGACCGGCCACAUUGGGACUGAGAUACGGCCCAGACUCAUACGGGAGGCAGCAGUGGGGAAUAUUGCACAAUGGGCGGAAGCCUGAUGCAGCACCGCCGCGUGCGGGAUGACGGCCUUCGGGUUGUAAACCGCUUUCGCCUGUGACGAAGCGUGAGUGACGGUAAUGGGUAAAGAAGCACCGGCUAACUACGUG
rnacentral:rRNA from 1 species